GGCGGGGUAGCUCAGCUGGUCAGAGCAACGGAUUCAUAAUCCGGAGGUCGGGGGUUCAAGUCCCCCCCUCGCUACCA
rnacentral:tRNA from 1 species